ensembl:misc_RNA Metazoa_SRP Metazoan signal recognition particle RNA
GCCAGGCACGGUGGCACAUGCCUGUAGUCCUAGCUACUCAGUAGGCUGAGGUGGGAGGAUCGCUCUGGGCUGUAGUGCGCUAUGCCGAUCAGGUGUCCGCACUAAGUUGCGCAUCAAUAUGGUGACCUCCCAGGAGCAGGGGACCACCAGGUUUCCUAAGGAGGGGUGAACCAGCCCAGAUCGGAAACGGAGCAGGUCAAAACGCCCGUGCUGAUCAGUAGUGGGAUCGCGCCUGUGAAUAGCCACUGCACUCCAGCCUGGGCAACAUAGCAAGACCCCGUCUCUC